rnacentral:rRNA from 1 species
CCUACGUGAGGCAGCAGUGAGGAAUAUUGGUCAAUGGUCGCGCGCCUGAACCAGCCAAGUCGCGUGAGGGAAGACGUUCCGAUGGAUUGUAAACCUCUUUUGUCAGGGAGCAAAAGACGCCACGCGUGGCGUUCCGAGAGUACCCGAAGAAAAAGCAUCGGCUAACUCCGUGCCAGCCGCCGCGGUAAUACGGGGGAUGCGAGCGUUCACCCGAUUUAUUGGGUUAAAAGGGUGCGCAGGCGGAAUAUCAAGUCAGCGGUAAAAUUGAGAGGCUCAACCUCUUCGAGCCGUUGAAACUGGUAUUCUUGAGUUAGUGAGAAGUAUGCGGAAUGCGCGGUGUAGCGGUGAAAUGCAUAGAUAUCACGCAGAACUCCGAUUGCGAAGGCAGCAUACCGGCGCUCAACUGACGCUCAUGCACGAAAGUGUGGGUAUCGAACAGGAUUAGAUACCCGUGUAGUC